UUAGUGCUGCGGAGCCAUGGUUGGCCAGCUGAGCGAAGGGGCCAUUGCGGCCAUAAUGCAACAGGGGGACACAUCCAUAAAACCCAUCCUCCAAGUCAUUAACGUCCGUCCCAUUACCACAGGGAAUAGUCCACCCCGCUAUCGACUUCUUAUGAGUGAUGGAUUGAACACUCUAUCCUCUUUCAUGUUGGCAACUCAGUUGAACCCUCUAGUUGAGCAAGAACGUUUGUCCAGCAACUGUAUUUGCCAGAUUAACCAAUUUAUUGUCAACACUCUGAAAGAUGGAAGGAGAGUAGUUAUUUUGAUGGAGUUAGAAGUUUUGAAAUCAGCUGAAGCGGUUGGAUUAAAGAUUGGCAAUCCAGUGCCUUAUAAUGAAGGGCAUGGGCAGCAGCAAGUAGUUCCUUCUCCAGCUACAGCAGCCAGUCCAUCAACCAGCCGGCCCCAGCCACAGAAUGGGAGCUUAGGAAUGGGUUCCGCUGUUUCUAAGUCUUUUGGUGCCUCUAAGACAUUUGGAAAACCCGGAGGUAUGAGCCUCCCAAACACUUCUGGGGGAACACAGGCCAAGGUGGUGCCCAUUGCCAGCCUUACUCCUUACCAGUCCAAGUGGACUAUUUGUGCUCGUGUUACCAACAAAAGUCAGAUCCGUACCUGGAGCAAUUCCCGAGGGGAAGGGAAGCUUUUCUCUGUAGAACUAGUUGAUCAAAGUGGUGAAAUUAGAGCUACAGCUUUCAAUGAUCAAGUGGACAAGUUCUUUCCCCUUAUUGAAGUGAACAAGGUUUAUUAUUUCACGAAAGGUACGCUGAAGAUUGCUAACAAACAAUUCUCAGCUGUUAAAAACGACUACGAGAUGACCUUCAGUAAUGAUACUUCUGAUCUCAAGAGUGGAGGAGUAGGGGGGAGCAACACCAACUGGAAGACUUUAAAUGAGGUUAAAUCAGAGAACCUGGGCCAAGGUGACAAGGCCGACUAUUUUAGCUCUGUGGCGACAGUGGUGUAUCUUCGCAAAGAGAACUCUAUGUACCAGGCCUACCCAACUCAGGACUGCAAUAAGAAAGUGAUUGACCAACAGAAUGGAUUGUACCGCUGUGAGAAGUGUGACAGUGAAUUUCCCAAUUUCAAGUACCGCAUGAUCCUGUCAGUAAAUAUUGCAGAUUUUCAAGACAAUCAGUGGGUGACUUGUUUCCAGGAGUCUGCUGAAGCUAUCCUUGGACAAAACACUGCUUAUCUCGGGGAAUUAAAAGAGAAGAAUGAACAGGCAUUUGAGGAAGUUUUUCAGAAUGCCAACUUUCGAUCUUUCACAUUCAGAAUCAGAGUCAAACUAGAGAACUACAAUGAUGAGUCUCGGAUUAAGGCCACAGUGAUGGAUGUGAAGCCUGUGGACUACAGAGAAUAUGGGAGAAGGCUGAUCACAAACAUCCGGAGAAACGCACUUAUGUGAGGAGAGCGGCACUGACUGGGCAGAAGUUUGCAAAUAAAGAUCCAAA